rnacentral:rRNA from 1 species
CCUACGGGCGGCAGCAGUGGGGAAUAUUGCACAAUGGGCGCAAGCCUGAUGCAGCCAUGCCGCGUGUGUGAAGAAGGCCUUCGGGUUGUAAAGCACUUUCAGCGGGGAGGAAGGCUGUGAGGUUAAUAACCUCAUCGAUUGACGUUACCCGCAGAAGAAGCACCGGCUAACUCCGUGCCAGCAGCCGCGGUAAUACGGAGGGUGCAAGCGUUAAUCGGAAUUACUGGGCGUAAAGCGCACGCAGGCGGUCUGUCAAGUCGGAUGUGAAAUCCCCGGGCUCAACCUGGGAACUGCAUUCGAAACUGGCAGGCUAGAGUCUUGUAGAGGGGGGUAGAAUUCCAGGUGUAGCGGUGAAAUGCGUAGAGAUCUGGAGGAAUACCGGUGGCGAAGGCGGCCCCCUGGACAAAGACUGACGCUCAGGUGCGAAAGCGUGGGGAGCAAACAGGAUUAGAUACCCCAGUAGUC